UGCCUUUCCAUUCACACAAGUAUCAGCGGAAGCUGAUUUUAACGUUGACAGAUGGGGUGGUCAAGAGCAUCAAGUCUACCAAUUUGCGGAGCGGCACCUCCCGGGCAAUAUACCAGUGCGUGAGGUGAUCAGGCCUCGGAUAGGGGAAGACGAUGCCAUCGGUGCCCCUCGGUCAGAACCACCAUACUACUUCCUUCCCUUGUUCCAGCACUCUGCGGUUCCCGUCGUCGAUAGGGACUUGUUCAGACCAGUCACCGAGAAAAUACGUUUCCCCAGUAUCUUGACCAACCUCUUGCUUCCGCCACAAAAUAGUCCAGAGCGCAACCACUUCUCUCCCGUGCGUAAUCCGCGUGGAGUGAGGUGUGGUGCGGGUACAACCAGAUCUCCGUGCGCAUCAACAGAGGUCGGCUCAGGUUUAGGUGUCUGGCCUCCAUGCUAUUCCUGGGCACUUGCCCCGUCACCCCACUUUUCUUUUACUUCCAUUAUGACCUGAAUGACGGUGGCAGUACUCAAACGACCAUGAAUGGCCAGCUGGUGUACUCCAGCUCACUUCACUUUUCUCCAGAACCACAAGGGCCAAUGAUAAGAGCCAUACAUCUCAACCUCCCCAUUCAGUGCAUAUAUAACCGAUUCCACUACUCCUACAAAGUUGGCUAUGUACCUGAGGUGCAUGACCGCACUCUCUUGAAGAGUAUGAAUGGCAAACGCAUCUUUAGGCUCACUGCAUGCAAUGAGAGAUGGGAACAAUUGUCGUCAGAAGAGAGCUACAUGCUUGGGGAGCCAAUGUACUUCAAAGCCUACGCAGCUUUUGUCCCCAGAGAUGGGUGUGUUUGAUGAUUCCUGCUUUGUUACGACAUCCAAGGACCCACAUAACAAACCCCGCCAUGAAGUAAUUCACAACUUUGGGUGGGAGGAGCUGUAUGGCCCUCCCUCUGUGUGCUCCUGCUGUGAUUAUGUCUGUGACUUGCCAGAGUUUUUGCCAGCCUUGAAGUAUCCUUCAGUGAAAAGCCUGAUCACCAGUGAACCCUGGAGAGUUGGAGGAAAGGGAGAAGAGUUUACCCAUUCAGGCUGAGGAGAGACAGCGAGGAAAGGGUGGAGGAGACCUUGGUAGUCACUUAUAAAGAGGAGGAGAAGGUGAAGUUUAAAAGUUUGGCAGUCACUCCUUGGGAGGAGGAGAAAAACAUGUCAGUUGCUGUUAUGAAUAAGGUAGAGGGUGUGCAGUAAGGGAUAGAAGUGAGAGAGGGGGUGGUAGCCAGAAAAGAAGGGGGUGUGGAAGAGCCGAUUGGGGACAAACUGGGCUGAGAAGGAGGUGGUGGAGGCUGAAGAGAACGGCACAGGCCAAGUGACAGCAAGUGUAACUUUGGAACAUGUACCUGAGGGUACAGAGGUGGAGGUAAAGAUUGGCAAUAUAUUGAGGACAAUACUGUGGUUAAGGAGGUAGCUCAGUGGAACAUGUUGAGUGUUGUCACCACAAAUGCUAAGGUGUCAAAGAAAGUUAAGGAGCAGGUUGCUGGGAUAGAAGGAUCAAAGGUUGAGAGGGUGGCGGUUGGACAGAUGCCUUUGGUGGACGACGCAGCAGCGUUUCUGCAGGGGUUAAUGGAGCCUGCCGAGUGGAGAGAAGAUUACCGAGGAGCUGGGGAGGUUUUGGAAACCAUCCACAAAGGACAAGCUUGCUGUGCUGGAAACUUCUGUCCCUAUUGGAACAUUGACAUAAAUUAACUUAAAUAUUUGAUAAGAAUUACACUUAAGUGUCCUUGUAGGAUUGAAUAUUAAAUUACUCUUGUCAUAAGCUCUGAACGUUUUUAUGGUAGCUGGACAUUUGAGGGAUUUAUUUUUGUGUGGGUGUACAGUGGCUUGCGAAAGUAU